rnacentral:rRNA from 1 species
UACGGGGGGAGCAAGCGUUGUUCGGAUUUACUGGGCGUAAAGGGCGGGUAGGCGGCCACCGCAAGUCAGUUGUGAAAUCUCUGGGCCUUAACCCAGAAAGGUCAACUGAUACUGCGGGGCUAGAGUGCAGAAGGGGCAACUGGAAUUCUCGGUGUAGCGGUGAAAUGCGUAGAUAUCGAGAGGAACACCUGCGGCGAAGGCGGGUGCUGGGCUGACACUGACGCUGAACUGCGAAAGCUAGGGGAGCGAACGGG